UCUCUUUGGCCGCCCUGUCAUGCC
rnacentral:siRNA from 1 species